GUCUUCGUGGAGUGAUUAUAAGCAACUCACUCCGCAUAUUAGCACCAUACCGGGAGAGUCGGUGGUUCGAAUCCACCCGAGGACA